UCAGGAGGACAGAAGGUGAGGUGCAUGGAGCACACAAGGAUCAGGAGGACAGAAGGUGAGGUACAUGGAGCACACAAGGAUCAGGAGGACAGAAGGUGAGGUGCAUGGAGCACACAAAGAUCUGGAGGACAGAAGGUGAGGUACAUGGAGCACACAAGGAUCAGGAGGACAGAAGGUGAGGUACAUGGGGUACACAAGGAUCAGGAGGACAGAAGGUGAGGUACAUGGGGUACACACGGAUCUGGAGGAAUGAAGGUGAGGUACAUGGAGCACACAAGGAUCUGGAGGACAGAAGGUGAGGUGCAUGGAGCACACAAGGAUCAGGAGGACAGAAGGUGAGGUGCAUGGAGCACACAAGGAUCAGGAGGACAGAAGGUGAGGUGCAUGGAGCACA